rnacentral:lncRNA from 1 species
AUGUCCUGGACUUUUGAUUAUCUUUGGCAUGAAAAAUACAACAAGCAGAGGAAACACAUCGGCACAAAAGCCUGCAGUCCGGCAGCUACAUUUUCUCUGUGGGAGCAGAUUCUCAGUGUCUUCCAAGAAGGCGCAACAUGCUGCAUGCCCAGUGAGUUGGAUUUAGUAGCAAAAGAGGUUGGAGUUCUCCGGAAUGACAAAGAGACCAGAGAGCACCGAACCUAUGGCUGCUUUUGCCUUUGCUCCUCUCUGUGUAGCGAUGCCUGUCAACAUCCACCAGAGAGCAGAGCAGCUCUGAAGACCCAGGCCUUUUAUGCUUUGGAAAUCAAUGGAGACAGCUACACAGCCAGAUCUCGGCCAAACAACAUGGAUUGCAGUUCAUUUCAAAGGAACCUUUGGACACCAAGGAAGAAAGAAGUGGGACAUGACUCCUCCUGAAAGACUUGUGACAUUUCUCUUCCACAGUCCUACCAGCUUAAUUCUCUGGAUUGCUGAAGGAUAAAGUUAAAAGACAAGAAAGGUAUGCUGUGAAUAGGCUUUGUCAUUAACUCUCUUGUAUACUUUGAAGCAUAGUCUGGAAGUCUUUACCUCCUGGAAUGCACAGAAUGUAAUUUACAAUGCUAUCAAUUAUGUGAAUGGAAUAAUAAAACAGAGGACACAGUCAUUCCCAUGCAUUCUGGCAGGUAGUGGCAUUUAUAGAGGAUCCCAUGAAGUGUUCAGACAGUGUGGGGCUUGCGAAGUCUUUCCUUUGAAUAUCAAACAACUUUUCUUCUUGCUACUUCUCACUGGCAUAUGAAAUAGCCUUGGUAUAUGGUCAGAUGUUAUGUUUGUAAUUGCUUACAAACAGAUACUGAUAGAGGCAGGAAAAAAGGAGAAUAUUAUAAAUGGAUGCUUGUAUCACAGAGUUACAUUGGCUUAGCACAGUGGGUUAAACCACUAAGCUGCAGAAAAUCCUACCGAUCAAAGGGUUGGCAGCUCGGGACAGGGUGAGCACCCACGGUCAGCCCCAGCUCCCUGCCCAGCUAACAUAAAUGUGAGUAGAUAAAUAGGUACCAUUUUACACGAGGAGGUAAAAAGCGUCUAUAAGGACAUGCCGGCGAUUCAAUUGGGAGGACAUCUAAGGAUGACAAAGCUCCCUAGCAUGGAAAAUGGAGCAACAGCAACCCCCGCCCCCCCCCCCCGCCGCGCCUUUGACCAGAGAUGAGCACAGUCUCUAGAUGCUGGAGAUGGAAAAUAUGGGAAAAGCCUUUACCUCUGUUUAUGUAUUGUCUGCCCUUGUAUAACGGCAUUGAAUGUUUGCUGAAUAUGUGUUCUGUAAUUCUCCCUGAGUCCCCUUGGGGAGAAAAAGUGGAAUAUAAAUAAAGUAUAUUAUUAUUAUAGGAGAAAAAGUGCUGUCAUGUUUUAAAAGGUUAGAAAGGUAAGAAAAAGGUUAUUGGAUUGGUUUUAAUCUAGAUACCUGGUAGCCUACAUUGCAUUUAUGAAUUCAUAUCGUGGAGUUACAGAACUGUAACUGCUCCAUAUUCAGUCGUGUUGUGUUUUCAUGGUCAUAGCACUACUGUCAUGAUUGUAAAUGCACUACCUUCAACCUAAGUUAAUAUCUUGCAAUUGUACCUUCCUUCCCAACCUUCCUAAAUAACUAGCAGUCGUAUCCAGUGAUAGAGGUUUAUUCUGAUGGUGAUCCAGGUAUAGAGGAUGAUAUUUCCCUCCCCUGCCCACCAACAAUUUGUGAUGUGACAAGGAUUUAUGACAUGAGUGCUAUUUUUGGUCCCGGGUCACAAGCAUAAUGGACCGUAAUCUCUUAGUGUAGUUUCUGGCUGAGAUCAUUUUGGGGAGUUGCAUUGGAAAAGGAGACAUAGGGCCUUUCUGGACAGCAUAAAAAUGCAGGACAAAGAAGUGGGGCAAAAAAUCGCGGUGCCUUAAGGAGAGUUCAGACACGGAGCUGUCAGCCCUGAGAAGUGAAAAAGACAGCAAGCAUUCAGCAGUGGGACCAGAGCUGAAUUCAUUGGAGAAGCCAAGGCUGAGAGGGUCCGUUCCAAUGGAAUAGUUAGCAAUAUUUUUUGCAGUAGACCGAGAAACAAAGGGGAGUGUGGGAAGUGUUGAGUCCAAACUGUCCUUUCUAUGCUACAGAGAGAAACAUUUCUGAACAGUCAUCAGCAUUGUGAUGUCCUAGGACCCAUACUUGUGGGUUAACUAAGGUGGAGUCUGGGAGAGAAGGUAGUUGUUAAUGUGGUAGAACUUUGACAUAAAAGCCAUUCCAUGUGGCCAUUCAAAAGCAGUCAUAGGAAUGACAGCAUAGCUGCAUAUCCAAAUUAAACUCUCAGUUUCAUCUAUUAACAUCCAACAAAAUAUGUCCUCUUGGGAGCAUGCAAGAUAGAUGCCUGUGAGUAGUGUCAUUCAGCAGGGACUGGGACUGAAGCAGUUGGUAUCAGGUGACACUCAUUGUUUAAUGGGACAGGCAUCAUAUCUACAUCCCUUCCUGGCACUGCUGACAAGUAAUUCGAAAUGGGAGUGGAAGAAAAGCCUCAGUGUUUUGUAAUAUCACCCACUAGAUCAUUGCUAGUGGUUGAGCAAGAAGUCUAGACACUAAAUCUGGCGACAAAGAGGAAAAAAAAAUCUGGAUCAUUUGGUAUACAAAAAUUUAGGCCUUAUAUGUGUAUAUGAGUCCUGUGCAGGAGAUGACAAUUAAUUGUGUGUGCUUAACAUUCCAAAAGGGAUCAAUAUGUAUAAUACUACUGAAAAUAAUGGCAAAGUGAAAAUCUUCUCAUCCAAAAUUAUUUUUGUCUUGGUUUUUGAAAAGAAGAAAGAUAGCGAUUCUUCACUUAUUUUUAAGGUGAUGUCACAGACCCUUUCUAUUUCUCAAUGUGUUUGUAGGUAUGCAAGUGGUAUUUAUUCUAACCCUGUUUUGCUGCCUCUUGGAUUGUGGAAUAAAAGUGUCGCAAGAGGCCAGUCGCCAUGCAAAUUCAUAUUAGCGGGCUGAAUCUCUCAUUUGUCAUUCCUCAGAUGAGUUUGUAAAAGACCACUGAAUUAAACCAUA